rnacentral:rRNA from 1 species
GACGGGGCGGCGCGAGCCGUCCCAACCCAACACCUCUUGUGAACAACCGCCGCCGGGUGCGUCCCGGCGGCACCCUUUGCACCUGUUGUACAGUGUCCAGAAAGUAUAUCAAAAGAGUACAACUCUCAACGAUGGAUCUCUUGGCUCUCGCAUCGAUGAAGAACGCAGCGAAUUGCGAUAUGUAAUGUGAAUUGCAGAAUUCAGUGAAUCAUCGAAUCUUUGAACGCACCUUGCGCCCUCUGGUAUUCCGGAGGGCAUGCCUGUUUGAGUGUCAUGUCAUCAUCAUCCCGCCGGGUCCUGCCCGCGCGGGGUUGGAAUUGGGCGCUGCCGUCUUUGGCUCGCCUCAAAUGCGUUGGCGGCGACCUGCCGUUGUUCGGCGUAAUACGUUUCGUCGGGCGGCGCGCGUCUGGGAGGCCCCCUUGAACCCGCCUCCUUGGAGGAUUUGUACGAUUGACCUCAGAUCAGGUAGGACUACCCGCUGAACUUAAGCAUAUCAAUA